CAAGUUAAUUUUUAGGAAAGGAUUUCAUUUACAUUGAAGUUAAUAUUGUGCAAUUCAAUAUAACUUGA
rnacentral:tRNA from 1 species